GAAGGUUUUGUGGCCCUUCGAAGCCGCCCUGCGGGGGGAGGCUUCAAACCACCUCAUGCCGUGACGAGGCAACCGUUACGG
rfam:Streptomyces atratus strain OK807 genome assembly, contig: Ga0007934_1039